ACACCUCAGCUAAGUGCUACAAAGGGGAAGUGCUCAGUGCUAUGGGGAGUUCAGUGGAGAUAUUUGUAUCCUAUUGAGAAUAUUAUUCAGAAUAAGAUCCUUUGAUGGCUUUGUUGCUCUCUAUUCAGCCUUUUACUCAAGGCAGAAAUAGUCUGGCCCCAAAAUGUUCAGUCCUGGAAGAAUUUCAACUUGGUAAUGGUUUAUCAAUAUCACAAUGAGAACCAGAGUGAGUA
rnacentral:lncRNA from 1 species